rnacentral:rRNA from 1 species
UACGUAGGGCGCAAGCGUUGUCCGGAAUUAUUGGGCGUAAAGAGCUCGUAGGUGGCUUGUCGCGUCUGUCGUGAAAGCCCAUGGCUUAACUAUGGGUCUGCGGUGGAUACGGGCAGGCUAGAGGCUGGUAGGGGCAAGCGGAAUUCCUGGUGUAGCGGUGAAAUGCGCAGAUAUCAGGAGGAACACCGGUGGCGAAGGCGGCUUGCUGGGCCAGUUCUGACGCUGAGGAGCGAAAGCGUGGGGAGCGAACAGG